rnacentral:lncRNA from 1 species
GUGAUGACCAGCGGGUAAGCGAGUGAGUGAGCGAGCGGCAGUACCCGACUACCCGCGGCUGACCCGGCCCGCCUCGGCUCCAUUCUGCCGCCACGCCAUAUUCGCAGCUCUGCUGGCGCGUGACUCGUGCGAAGUGCCACUAUGUCACGCCCGACGAUAUGACUGACAGAUUAUGAUAAGAGAGACUAGAGCGGUGUGAUAAACAGUGUAUGGAAUAAAUUGAUGCUGAGAGAGGACGAGAGAGAGAAAUAACGAAAGAAAUAAGAGAUAGAAAGAGACGGAGAGACCGUGAGGAGCCAGAGGAGGAGUCGAUAGACGAAGCCGCAGACCUUCAAGUACAAAAUCGUUUUCCGACCAGCCGAGGCAGUGUCCAAAAUGGCAUACGGGUACAACUAUGGCCAGGGCAUGAGUGAGGCUGAGCGGAAGCUGGAGGCCCUCACGCAGCAGAUCGAGGAGGAGAUGGAGAAGCAGGAGCAGGAAGGGGAAUAUUACGGCAUAUGUCACACGUGUGGGGACAAAGUGACGGUGGUGGGCAGGCAUGCCAGGCCAUGGG